rnacentral:rRNA from 1 species
AUACGGAGGGUGCAAGCGUUGUCCGGAUUUAUUGGGUUUAAAGGGUGUGUAGGCGGUGUAUUAAGUCAGUGGUGAAAGCCUGCGGCUCGACCGUAGAACUGCCAUUGAUACUGACACACUUGAGUAUGGACGAGGUAGGCGGAAUUUAUGGUGUAGCGGUGAAAUGCAUAGAUACCAUAAAGAACACCGAUAGCGAAGGCAGCUUACUAGGCCAUAACUGACGCUGAGGCACGAAAGCGUGGGGAGCGAACAGGAUUAGAAACCCCAGUAGUCC